UAACAAGAAGGGUUACCACAGCUAAAG
rnacentral:piRNA from 1 species